UAUUUUUUUUAUUUUAAUUCCAGUAUGGUUAACAUAGUUAUAUUAGUUUCAGGUGUACAAUAUAAUGACUCAACACUUCCAUACAACACCCGGUGCUCAUUGUGACAAGUACACUUCUUAAUCCCCAUCACCUGUUUCACCCAUCCCCUUAACCACCCCCCCGUAACCAUCAGUUUGUUCUCUAUAGUUAAGAAUCUGUUUCUUGAUUUGUCUUGCUUUCUCUCACUCUUUUUUCCUUUGCUCAUUUGUUUUGUUUCUUGUAUUCCACAUGAGUGAGAUCAUAUGGUAUUUGUCUUUCUCUGACUGACUUAUUUCACUUAGCAUUAUUCUCUAGCUCCUUCCAUGUCCUUUCAAAUGACAAGAUAUCAUUCUUUUUUAUGGCUGACAAUAUUCCAUUAUAGAUAUAUACCAUUAGAGAUAUUCCUUAUCCAUUCAUCUAUCAAUGGACACUUGGGCUGCUUCCAUAGUUUGGCUACUGUAAAUAAUGCUGGUGUAAACAUAGGGUGCAUGUAUCCCUUUGAAUUAGUGUUUUUGUAUUUUUGGGGUAAAUACCCAGCAGUGUGAUUACUGGAUCAUAGGGUAUUUCUAUUUUUAACUUUUUGAGGAACCUCCCUCCUGGCUUCUACAUAAACUAGGGUUUCUCUUAAGUUGAAAAGAAAUAUAUGCAAUGUUUAAAAAAAAUCAAAUGGGGCCAAAUGAAAAAUUCCUUUGUUUUUGCUCCCUGUCUCCAAGUCCUAUUCCUUAGUAACCAGUAUUAAUAGCUCCUUGUAUAUCCUUCCAGAAAAUUUAAUGUAUAAAUAUAUAACCUUGUAAAGAAACAUUAUUUUACACCUUCCUCCCUUUCCUAUCUCACUGUGAAACCAUACCUUAGUAUCAAAACUUACAGAUCUCAUUCUCUGCUCAGAAACACACAGAUUUAAACUGUCUAUUAAGGAUAUAUCAUAAGUGGUACAAACAUGAAAAGCAAUGGAACAAUAAGCCAAAGGUCAAGGUGAUGGUUACCCUGAUGGGAAGGCAAGGUGGGUAGUGAGGAGCAUGAGGCGGGGAGGGGUGUUCCAACGGUACCAGUGAGGUUUUAUUUCUUAGGUUAGCGGUGGCUACAUGGGCAUUUGUUUUACAGUUGAUUUUUACACCUUCAAACAGGUGAUGUGCAUUUUUUUCAUCUGCUUUUAUUUAAUAUUGAAGAAAAACAACUGAGCAAUCAAAUGAGGCAAUGAGAGGACUCCUUGUAAUCACUAGUGGUUCCAUAGACUACGAGUCCUCAGUCUGUCCCCAACACUGCCUGUUCCUGUUAAUACUGAGCUAUUUAUAAUCGUCCACCUUGGCUGCUGAGCCUAAAGGAAUAUCUAAGCAGAAAUCAGGAGCAGAAGCAGUUUUACCAGGCUUUUCUCCAUGACACGUCUGUGAACUACACAAAACAUCGAUUCAAGACACGGGUAGAAGAGCUGAAGCAUGAUCUGUGGCAAGAGGUAUUACCGGAUUUCCCUCUCUGCAUAGACAGGAUCAAGCCUUUCUAAAUGAUUUGGUGUACAUAACGAAACCCCUCUUCUAACCAUAACUUAAGACCUCUGGUCCCUGUCAUUAUGGGACCAGAACACAGGAAGCCCCCCAGUCCAAGCCAAGUACUGACAGCAGAUGUGCAGACAUACACAGCUAGCCUGGGGGUGGGGAGCUGCCUAGAUAUUUUCUACCCCCUCAAAAAGAUCCUGACCUAGACCUAAAGAGUUAGUAAUAGUCUAACUUUGUAAUGAUAUUAUGAGAAUCUUCAGAAAGCUGUCUGUAUUUUAUUUUAAAGGAUGGUGUCUUUUCCCUGGGGUUUCUGGUUCCAUUUUCCUGAUUUGACUUACUCCUGAUUUGUUUUUCUUCCUUCUCCUGGCUGUCAGAGGGUUCCCUCAAAACCUGGAGCUUUCUAUGCCUCUUUCUUCUUCUGUGGAGAAGAAGAUUUGAUCGGUUUUCAAGGUCUCAACUAGCUAUUUAAAAUUAAACCUCAAAAAUCUUUAAACUCUUUUAUUUCCUCCUGCACUGUUCUAGUUCAAACCCCUCAAGCCUUCCGAUCUGAGCUACUAUCUCAUCUGAACCGCUAGCUGGCCUUCUUACUGACUCUAACUUUCUCAUCUCAGCUGAGCCUAUAUAUUACACAGCUUGACUAACGGUCCCAAUAAACAGCUCGAGUCAUUUCGUUUGCAAUUCAAAAACCUUCAGGGAUCCGCUGCUGUUUACAGAUUAUGGGUUACAGUCCUUUGCUUGACAAUCAAGAGCCUCCGUAAUAGGGAACUAAUUUAUCUUUCCAACUUUGUUUUCCCUCUACUAAUCCAUGUAUUUAUCCACCAGUGGAUAAAUGUGGAUGGCCCUGGCCAUAUAGAGGUGAAUAAAAACAAUUUCUGCUCUCAAGGAGCUUAUGGCCUGGUGAAAGAAACAGAUGCAAACAGUGCAGUAAAAAAAUACAAAUAUAGUAAAAGCUUCCUUAAAAUGAGCUCCACUAAAACCACUCAUUAGAUUAACUGAUACUCUCCACCCUCUCGUUAUGUAAAAUGAAUGGACUCAUGUCCAGGGCACACCCUAUGCUCAGAGUGGGUGGGCCACCCCGAGUACCUGUGUUCUUCUCCUCCCCUCUGUUGAUUUAUGUGUUAACCACAUCAGCUAGAAUUGUCUCCAAAUGUGUUAAUGUCAGUUGUAGUUGUAAUCAGGAAAUCUCGUUGAAUAAUAGGUAAACUGAUCAAAGCGGAGUGCCAAGAAAAAGAAAUUUCUAUAAAUAUUAAGUUUAUUGCUCUGAAAAAUCUAAGUCAACUUUAACUUAAAAACUGCUGUACAAAAGAAUGUUGCUACCGAAUCUGUAGACAAGGUGCUUGUAAAAAGAUGGGAAUAACAACAGAAAAAUCUAGAAGGGAUACACAUUGCUUUGCAAGUGUAUUUAAAUUCUAUUUCCACUUUAAGGAAACUAAAAUUAGAAGUUAUAGGUUCAUUAAGAAUUUAGUUUAUGCAGCUGACAUACAGCUUUGGCCCCAUAGUCAAAGUUUGAGUAAUUUAUGUUUUCAAUUAAAAUAAAGUGUCUUCCUUAUGAUCAAUUUUUAUGACACCCUGCUUUAACCAAUUUUAACCAAUUUUUUUCAGUUAGCUGACUCAACCUCAAUGCACUCCCCCACCCCCCCAGGUGGAAGUAUUGGUUCUUUCUGGUGACCUCUCGUUACUUCAUCUGUGUCUUUUUCAUGCUGCUCAUCACUUACUGUUAUUUAUCACUAAACUUUAGAAACAAGUGUCAAAAGGCAACAUCUAAAUUUGUUGCAGAGAACAGGAUGAAGGAUAGCAAAAUAGGCUACCCCCAAAUUAGUGUACUGAUUAUUUUAGCUGCAGGCUCUUGAAAAACAGGAAAGGCAAGGAGAGGUUUUCUCUGAACUGCACUCAUCUGCCUAAAGACAGAUCUUCCAAACGGAACCCAAUUGUCCUAGAUCCCCUCCCCUGGGAGUUUCAUCAGUCAGGCAAGAUUGACUCUGAUCACGGGAAAGGAAAAAAAAAAACCUGACAUCACACCCAGACGAACUUUGUCCCACACUAUCAUACCUCCUAUCUAUUCUUCUAAGGGCCCAUUUAUCUUUCCUAAAAAUCCUUUAUUUUCCCCUAAAAGGCCUUCUCUUUCCGUACUGAAAUGGUAUUUAAUCUUGAAUUCUGGGCCACCUCUGAGUUACUCAUUUUUCCGCGGGCCUCUCCCCUGUAUGCAUGAGAUAGACACAUUAAUACAUUUGUUUUUCUCCUGGUAAUCUGCCUUUUAUUACAGAGGUCUCAGCUGAGAACUCAGAGGGUAGAGGGAAAAUUACUUUUCUUCCCCUACAAGGAUUAUUCCUACAUUUUCUGUUAUUUUUCAUGAAAGCAUUACCCAGGGCACAUCUGCAUUCUGGUUUCUCUAAGGGUUAUAUUUCAGGAUAUACACAAAGAAGCUCUUCUUUAGGAGGUUCCACAGAUGUCAACAACUAACACCAACCGACAGAGCAGAAGGGCCUCCGUUCUUCCCUAACAGUUGCACCAGCGCUCACCUAACAUCAUUUGAGAUUGACCUGGUGCGGGUAAGGGCUGUAUGUGAAGCAGUGUCUUACAAAUGACUGAUGAGGAAAAGAAGCAAGAGAAAACGCAAGUAUUUCUGCAUACCUUUUUUAAGACUUGAAAAGAAGCAAGAAAAUGAGAACUAACACCACCAAUAUCUAUUUGCUCCCCCAGCCAAACUUAACUUUACACAUUGAGGGCUGGUAUGCCACCACUUUGGACAAACUUGGCUUAUGAAUGACCUUUCCAGAUACGUGAGUUUGUGUCUAGAAAUCUAGUGUGUAUUUCACACUCCCGGCACAUCGAAGGCCCCGUGUGGUUAACGGCUGUUGCAUCCCACCCAGCAUGUCUUGGCCCCACGGGCUACAAAGUCAGACAGCCUAGAUCUGGGUCCUGGCCCUGACACUUCCUAGCUGCGUGACCCAGAGGCAGUUAUUAAUACUCACCAAGCAUCAGUUUCUUUAUUGAUCGCGGAUAGAAAAGUCUGAUUUCCCAUUUUAAUGUAUGGUCAAUCCUCACGUUUCAGUUGAAGCAUGAAGCAAUAUUAAGCAUCGUCUCCUACUCUCUGCUCAGAGUAACAGCAGUACUCAGUGAUGCUGGUAGGGAUCCUGAGCAAAAAGGCUCUUUAGUGAAAUAAAAUUGAGAACCAUGCAUACUACAUCCCUGUCUUAAAGAGCCAUUUGGAACAUUAGCCUCCUGGAGACUCUGAAAAGGCCUACAAUAAAGAAACCUGUUUGAAUUCUUACACUUGUUUUAACAGGAAACUAUCUUGCUCUGGUUAAUUAUUAACAUCUAAUGGGAAGCCCAUUAGAUGUUCUGAGGAAAACAGUUUGGGGAGUGUUGCUAGACGCUUGACAUUCCAAUCUUGCAGCAAACUUUCAAAGUAAAAAGUAAGAAGAAAAGGAAGGAGAAAGAACGGUUUUUCUCAAUACCAUCUAGACUUGUAUUUAAAUUUGAGUCUAAGGU